AUGGCGAAACUCCUAAGCAUAAUGUUGGUCCUUGCCAUCGUAUCAGUAACCGUAUCUGCUGACGAAUGCGAGCAGGACCGAAUAGACAUGAAACGGGAGUGUCGGCGCUACCAUACAUGGCCAGCUGAGCCAAAACUCAUCCCAUCAGAGGCAUGUUGCGCCAUGUGGCAGAGGGCAAGCGUACCUUGCCUUUACAAAGAUGUCAACAAGGAUAAAAUGAAGGUAUUAUGCAUGGAGAAGGUUGUGUUUGUCGUCAAGUAUUGCAAGAUGUCAUUCACGCCUGGAUCCAAGUGUGGAAGUAAGUGA
rnacentral:rRNA from 1 species